GAUGAACGCUGGCGGCGUGCUUAACACAUGCAAGUCGAACGGAAAGGCUCCUGCUUGCAGGGGUACUCGAGUGGCGAACGGGUGAGUAACACGUGGGUGAUCUGCCCUGCACUUCGGGAUAAGCCUGGGAAACUGGGUCUAAUACCGGAUAGGACGAUGGUUUGGAUGCCAUUGUGGAAAGUUUUUUCGGUGUGGGAUGAGCUCGCGGCCUAUCAGCUUGUUGGUGGGGUAAUGGCCUACCAAGGCGUCGACGGGUAGCCGGCCUGAGAGGGUGUACGGCCACAUUGGGGCUGAGAUACGGCCCAGACUCCUACGGGAGGCAGCAGUGGGGAAUAUUGCACAAUGGGCGCAAGCCUGCUGCAGCGACGCCGCGUGGGGGAUGACGGCCUUCGGGUUGUAAACUCCUUUCGCUAGGGACGAAGCGCAAGUGACGGUACCUGGAGAAGAAGCACCGGCUAACUACGUG
rnacentral:rRNA from 1 species